CUUGAAGAUCUUGUUACAGGACCUAUAAAGUCAAUUUGAAUAUCAGACCAGGGUAAUGACACCCCCCUCUUCUGAAGUGGUGCACGAUGGGUUGGACCAUGGGGUUGAUAUUGCAGACAAAUCAAGCAUCCCUGACAGUAUGUCUUAACAUCUCUUAACAUGUGUGGCCAAUAUGCAUAAUCACGCAAUCUCUCAUAUGUGAUCUUAUCACCACGAUGCCCAGAUGUAGGUGCAUCAUGUGCGUGUUGGAGCAUUAACCCUCUGUAUACAGUUGGGACUACCCAUUGUUGUAUACCAUGUUUAGAAGUUCUGACCAGCAACCCAUCCAUGAUACUAAAUUGGACUUUAUAUCUCAUCAAGAUUCGUAAAUCUUCAUUAUCAUUGCAAUCCUCAUCUGUGAUGGAAUUGGCAGUAGGGUCUUCUAUAUGUCUAUAGAAUAUGCCUAUGACGGGAUCGGUCUUUUGACUGGUAAUCAGGUCCUCACUAGGAGUUUCUUGACUCCAUUGCACGACGUUUAAGUCGGCAUUAUCUCUAGCCUGUCGUCUAGUUAUGGCUUCAACAUGAAUUGAACCCAUAAGAUUAUCAAUGUUUAGGGUUUCACCAUUGAAGGCAGCUUGUUUUGCCAGUGAAUCGGCUAAGUCAUUACCAUCCUUGUCAAUACCUUCUAUUUUAGAAUGGCCUUUGGUUUUCUUCCAAUAUAUGGUUAAACCAUUUUCCUUAACCAGUUCAUCAAUUUUACAAAACAAUUCCCCAUGUUUAACAGGUUUGUUAUUGCUUUUCAGCAUUUGGUUACGUUUCCAGCUAGGCAAAUAUUCUACAAAACUGUUGCGAACAUAGUUGGAAUCAGUUAUGAUAAAUUAUUUUGAUACCAUAUUCUAUUGCCAUUUGAAUGGUCUUAUAUACUGCACAGAGUUCGGCUAUCUGACUGAUUUUGGGACCAAUAUUGUAUCCUAUAGAUACAUUGGGAUAAUCACCUGUCCAGGCGAUUCUGAUACCUGCAACUAACUUCCGUUCAGCACCAGCGGCGUGGUGAUAUGAACAACCAUCAAUGUAUACCCACGGUAGUGGUCGACAGUAUUCCUCUUCAUAAACUUUAUAAGAGGAUAGCAAUUGCUCUUCUAGGAAGUCAUCUCCGGUGUCAUUAUCAUCCAGAGAUGGAGCAGUACGGUCAUGUAAUUCUGCUAAACCUUGGGCAACUGGGCUUCUCUUAUUAUGUUUAUAACGGACUUCUAGCGGCCAUCCCUGUAAGGAUAGAGUCCAUGCAGUAAUCCGACUGUUCGAGAGAUUACCGUCUCUGGUUCUUUCACUCUGCAGAUACUGUAGAGGUUGGUGAGCUGUUUCUACAAUUAUUUUCUCACCUUG